UAGUGAACCAGUACCGUGAGGGAAAGGCGAAAAGAACCCCGGCGAGGGGAGUGAAAAAGAACCUGAAACCGUGUACGUACAAGCAGUGGGAGCCCCACCACUAAGCCAGUGGUGAACUCCACAUACGCAUCCUUUGCUGAGGAUACGGUUAACGGAGCGCAAGCGACGUUCAACCUCAAAAGAAGCAGAGGGGGCUUAGUGGUGGGGUGACUGCGUACCUUUUGUAUAAUGGGUCAGCGACUUAUAUUCUGUAGCAAGGUUAACCGUAUAGGGGAGCCGGAGGGAAACCGAGUCUUAAUUGGGCGUUAAGUUGCAGGGUAUAGACCCGAAACCCGGUGAUCUAGCCAUGGGCAGGUUGAA
rnacentral:rRNA from 1 species